UGGCGGACGGGUGAGUAACGCGUAAAGAACUUGCCCUUUAGACUGGGAUAACAGAGGGAAACUUCUGAUAAUACUGGAUAAGUUAGUAUAUCGCAUGAUAUGCAAAUGAAAGCUACGGCACUAAAGGAGAGCUUUGCGUCCUAUUAGCUAGUUGGUAAGGUAAGAGCUUACCAAGGCGAUGAUAGGUAGCCGGCCUGAGAGGUGGACGGCCACAAGGGGACUGAGAUACGGCCCUUACUCCUACGGGAGGCAGCAGCC
rnacentral:rRNA from 1 species